UACAGAGGCCUCGAGCGUUGCGCGGAAUCACUGGGCUUAAAGGGUGCGCAGGCGGAAACGUAAGUGUUUUGUGAAAGCCCACGGCUCAACCGUGGAACAGCAGGGCAUACUGCGUUUCUUGAGGCUGGUAGGGGCUGCCGGAACUGUAGGUGUAGCGGUGAAAUGCGUAGAUAUCUACAGGAACGCCGAUGGUGAAGACGGGCAGCUGGGCCAGUUCUGACGCUCAUGCACGAAAGCGUGGGGAUCAAACAGG
rnacentral:misc_RNA from 1 species